AGUACGUGAUAUUAAUUGUGGUUCAACGAUAAUUUCGUUAUUAAUGUACCCGAAGGCAAAACAGACAUAUACAGGCGAGGCCAGGACGUCUUCGUAGCAAGGUCCAACAAAGAGUCGUGUCCUGGUGAUUUACUCGACCGAUAUAUACGGAAUGCAAAUAUCAUCAUUAAUGACAGUGACAUUUACCAUACUCUUCAUGUGUCAAAUUCAACGGUGACAUUAAGGACGCUACCUCGAGUCCUAAUAACAUGCAUCCACUGUCAUUUCUCCUAGUAAGAUUUCUACCAACUCGACUGGAACAUCAUACGAGUGUUUAUAUUGUUUUAUCUCUCUCCAAUUGACUGAAUGUACAGGCUCACAUAUGUUCAAAAUGAAUUUGCUUUACACUACAUUACAUUAAAAUACUCAUUAAAAAUACAUAUACCUUAUGGCAAAUCACGUCAGCCAUAAUAUGUCACGUGGAGCAUGAUGAUAUAAU
rnacentral:lncRNA from 1 species